CCUACGGGUGGCAGCAGUGAGGAAUAUUGGUCAAUGGUCGCGAGCCUGAACCAGCCAAGCCGCGUGAGGGAGGAAUGCCCUGAGGAUUGUAAACUUCUUUUUUCAGGGAACAAAGUGUGGCACUUGUGCCUGUAUGAGUGUACUUUAAGUACAAGCAUCGGCUAACUCCGUGCCAGCAGCCGCGGUAAUACGGAGGAUUCGUGCGUGAUCCGGAUUUAUUGGGUGUAAAGGGAGCGGAAGUGGGUUGGUAAGUGAGUGGUGAAAGUGCGGGGCUAAAACCCGACCUUGCGUUUGAAACUGGCAGUCUUGAGUACAGGAGAGGUAAGCGGAAUGCGUGGUGUAGCGGUGAAAUGCGUAGAUAUCACGAAGAACUCCGAUUGCGAAGGCAGCUUGCUGGACUGCCACUGACGCUGAGGCUCGAAAGUGUGGGUAUCAAACAGGAUUAGAUACCCCUGUAGUC
rnacentral:rRNA from 1 species